rnacentral:sRNA from 1 species
CGAAACAGCCUUGUUCCGAGUAUUAAACUUUUAAAAUCAGAGAGUUGAAUUAAAGCGCGGAGAAUUACCGAGGAAUCCUGCGACGAAAGGCGCUCCGAGCGGUUUUCACGCGGUUCGCCAGGCUUCCGGGAAGUGGGGCGUUGUUGCACACACAAGGAGCAACAUUGCUCCAUUCGGUAACAGGGGAAGGUUUCCUGACAGCCACAUCGCUCGCUUGAACGAGUGCCGCAGGCUCUCGACCUCUGCUCGCAGCAACUCCCCUGCUUAUAUAAGGACGAGGGUCUUCGCAGCGAAGACUUCAGGCCGAGGCAGACAGGGACGAAACGACUGCGGCGGUCCCGGACACACCGG